UACGGGGGGGGCAAGCGUUGUUCGGAAUUACUGGGCAUAAAGGGCUCGUAGGCGGCCAACUAAGUCAGACGUGAAAUCCCUCGGCUUAACCGGGGAACUGCGUCUGAUACUGGAUGGCUUGAGUUCGGGAGAGGGAUGCGGAAUUCCAGGUGUAGCGGUGAAAUGCGUAGAUAUCUGGAGGAACACCGGUGGCGAAGGCGGCAUCCUGGACCGAUACUGACGCUGAGGAGCGAAAGCGUGGGGAGCGAACAGG
rnacentral:rRNA from 1 species